UACGUAGGUGGCAAGCGUUGUCCGGAAUUAUUGGGCGUAAAGCGCGCGCAGGCGGCCUCUUAAGUCUGAUGUGAAAGCCCCCGGCUCAACCGGGGAGGGCCAUUGGAAACUGGGAGGCUUGAGUAUAGGAGAGAAGAGUGGAAUUCCACGUGUAGCGGUGAAAUGCGUAGAGAUGUGGAGGAACACCAGUGGCGAAGGCGACUCUUUGCCUAUAACUGACGCUGAGGCGCGAAAGCGUGGGGAGCAAACAGG
rnacentral:rRNA from 1 species